CCCCAUGGCCCGGCAUCCUACUCCCACACGUAUCAGCUCUCAGUGCAUGCUGUCUGCUUUGCUGUUGAAAGCUUGUAGCUGGACAGGACAGGUGUUAAGAGCUGUGCUUUGGAGAAGAUAUAUCUGACUUUGAAUCCUGCAUCUGCCACUUACUCUUCUGAGUCCUUGGGCAAACCACUUAGCCUCUCUGAGCCUCAGUUUCCUCAUAUGUAAAAUGGGAACGAUAAGACCCACCAGAGAGAGUUGUGAAAAUUAAAUGAGAUGAUGCUUUAUAUUUUAUAUGGAACCUGUGGAUGGCCUGUUUCCCCUGUUAAAGUGUAAGCCCCAUGGGAGCAAGAAUAUGUUUAUUCACCACUAUAUCCCAAUGCCUGUACACAGAAAAUCUAUAGUGGUUGCCUUCAUAUGUGAAGAACAGCAGUAUACAUUCACUGUCUACAUGUCUGCAAGGACCUUGCUCAUCCUGACAUGACACAGAACAUCACUAUGACCCACCUAUUGAUGACGUCAUGCUACUUGGACUUGCUGAUCAGGGAGUGGCAAGUAUCACUGAUGCCCUAAUACAGUGGUUCUCACUCAGGGGAUUUUAACUCCCGGGCGACAUCUGAAGAUGCCUGGAAACAUUUUUGGUUGUCACAAAUUGGGGAUUGUGAGCAGCUGGUAUUUGGUAGGUAGAGGCCAGGGAUUCUGCUGUAUACGCGACAAUGCUUAGGACAGCCUCUCAUCCUCUGACAAAGAAUUAUCUGGCCCAAAAUUUGAAUAGUGCUAAGGUUGAGAAACAUGGCCUUAGUGAGACAUCUGUGUACCAGAGGUGGGAGAUAAACCUUAUGAAAAUUCAAUAUCUCUUACAUCAGUGAAGCUUCUAGGGGUUCAAUAGUCUGGGGAUUGCCAGACAUUUUUUUUUUAAGUUAAAGGAUAAAUGUGACAUCUUAGGCACUCAAAAAUAUUUGCUGAAUGAGUAAAUGAAUGAAAGACAUACAGGAAGAGUUCCCUGUGCAAAGAGAAGGUUGCUUGAGAGAGAGAGUUUCCCAGAGAAAGGCGGAAGUUUGCUGUGGCCAGCGGCCAGGAGAGGGGGUGGAGGUGAAGGUGGGAGAAGGCUGUGGUUUAUAUGGUUUACAUGCUAUUUAUUUAGACACCUGCCCACGGAAGGUGGAGGACAAACAAGUGGCUUUCAUCAAGGGAGAAACAAGGCCAGGUUUGUAUUCUAGAAUGAUCACUUUAUGGCUGGUUAGAGAGGUUGUCCUGAAAGACCAUGAGACUGGAGUCAGAUAAACUAGCCUGGUCCCUAUUUGUAACAGUCCAGUUGGGGAGCGAUAAACACCUCUUCUGGGACAGAAUGGAAAUAGAAUAAAGGAAGAAAUAAAUUCCAGAAAGAGUUGGGAGGAAAAAUGAUCAGGAUUUGGUGACUGAAUUGGGAACGUGGGUUGAGAGAGAAGAAGGAGUGGAAGAAAACUCUCAGGUCUCUAUGUCUUUGGGUAACUGGAGCACACAGGAGUAAGUCCAGUUUUAAGUGACAGGUCGUGAGUCUUGUUUUGGAUAUUUGCAAUUUAAAGAUGCGGGGCGUACAAGAGGAGGUGUGCAGUUGGCCACUGGAAAGGUGCAUUUACAGUUAAACCCAACUAUCCCACUUCCGUAGGAAUUGACCUUCCAGUCAGACCUGGACAUGUACAAAAUGACUCAUGCACCAUGCUAUUUGUUUCAGUCUUGUUUGAAAAAGCAAAAUACUGGAAACAGCAGAAGGGGAAGGGUUAGAUAAACUAUGGUGCCUCUGUACAAUGGACUGCCGUGUAGCUGUACAGAAGAGUAAGGAAGCUCUCAGUGAACUGAUUCCGAAAGAUCUUUGGGGCACAUUGUUAAGUGAAACAACAGAAACAACAAACCAAGGUGCCAAACAGUGUGUGUAGUAUGUUCUUACCUGUGUAAGAAAGAAUGAAAAUAAGAACAUAUAUAAGAAAUAAGAACACAUAAUAAGAAAAUACAUUUGUAUUUACUUGUAUAUGCAUAAAGAAACACAAAGGAUAUAAGAUACUAAUCAAAGAAGGGUGCCUUAUAAGGCCGGUGAAGAGCGGAGUAGAAGAACCCAGGGUAGGAACAAAUCUUCCCAAUGAAUAUCUUUUAGAUUUGAAACAUGUGA
ensembl:lncRNA